rnacentral:misc_RNA from 1 species
AACGCAUAUUGCGCCCUUUGGUAUUCCGAAGGGCAUACCUGUUCGAGCGUCAUUAUCAACCAUCAAGCCUAGCUUGUCGUUGGACCUCUUUGCUGCUGAAACAUACAGCAGGUCCGAAAUAUAAUGACGGUGUCGUGUUUGACCCUAGAUGCAACGAGCUUUUUAUAGCACGCAUUGAAGUGGUCGGCCGACCCGGUCUUAACCAUCAUUUUCUAAGGUUGACCUCGGAUCAGAUAGGAAUACCCGCUGAACUUAA